GGGACAUCAUUGUGUUGUAGUUCUGGUCGGUGUAUAAAUAAGAGAGCACUCCUGGGGUUGUGCGGUGUAUGGGACACGGGAGCCGCCAUUAAAAGAGAUCUCUGCCUCUCGACUCCUUCUUCCACUCCAGCUUGCCACGAUCAAUCACAAGAAGUGUAGAUGGUAAAAACACACCGGCUGCACAUGGAUUUGGGGCUCUUCCUUUGCAAUCGAAAGCGGUCACUUUUACCGACUGGACUGCCACCAUGUCGUGCUUGCUCUCAGUAGCUGUGAGCGUCCGCUGCCCUGCUCUUGUUCAUACACAAAUUGCCUUUUUUUAAAUAAAUAAAUGCUGCAAUAAUGUGUUGACACGUUGUGUUUGCUGGAGUGAAGGGAACUUGAUCCUGAUGUGACUGCGUUGCCACAAAUAGACCGGUGUGGUGUGUUGAGGACACCGCAGCCCGCAUAUUGUUCCAUUAUCAGAUUUAUCAAGCUGUCACUGUCUUGCCAACGUUGAAGGACAUCUGUAACUGUAACCUCUCUUCAGUGCGGUGACAAACCACCUACUCACAUCAGUCACUGCCCACGCACCCGAGCACGACGAGCCAUCCCUGCAUAACCUUCCAGAUGACCAUCCUUUGAAUCGUAUCUGCAUUUAACACUGGACUUCUAUGCAUCUAUUAAAUUAAAUAUAAAUCAAAAUAUUAAUUAAUUAAAUAUGUUUCAUAUUGAGUAAAGUGAGCACCUUAAUUAAAA